GCGCCUGUAGCUCAGUUGGUAGAGCAGCGCCCUUUUAAGGCGUGGGUCGGGAGUUCGAGACUCUUCAGGCGCACCA
rnacentral:tRNA from 1 species